CCUAACCACACUUGUUCUGACUGUGACUCACACAGCUUUCCCACAUACUUUCUAAAAUAUAGUUUAAACAUUGUAGCUUCGCUUAUUGCAUUAUGUGUUUAAUUUAGAAUUUAUACUCUCUUGCUCUGUUAAUAGCCUCAUGUGUGCUUUUAAAGGGACACUAUAGUCAGCUGAACAACUUUAGCUUAAUGAAGCAGUUUUGGUGUAUAGAACAUGCCCGUGCAGCCUCACUGCUCAAUCCUCUGCCAUUUAGGAGUUAAAUCCCUUUGUUUAUGAACCCUAGUCACACCUCCCUGCAUGUGACCUGCACAGCCUUCCAUAAACACUUCCUGUAAAGAGAGCCCUAUUUAGGCUUUCUUUAUUGCAAGUUCUGUUUAAUUAAGAUUUUCUUAUCCCCUGCUAUGUUAAUAGCUUGCUAGACCCUGCAAGAGCCUCCUGUAUGUGAUUAAAGUUCAAUUUAGAGAUUGAGAUACAAUUAUUUAAGGUAAAUUACAUCUGUUUGAAAGUGAAACCAGUUUUUUUUUUUUCAUGCAGGCUCUGCCAAUCAUAG